rnacentral:rRNA from 1 species
AGAGAUGGACUUGGUGCCUUCGGGAACUCUGACACAGGUGCUGCAUGGCUGUCGUCAGCUCGUGUCGUGAGAUGUUGGGUUAAGUCCCGUAACGAGCGCAACCCUUGUCCUUAGUUACCAGCACGUUAUGGUGGGCACUCUAAGGAGACGUGCCGGUGACAAACCGGAGGGAAGGUGGGGAUGACGUCAAGUCAUCCAUGGCCCUUACGGCCUGGGCUACACACGUGCUACAAUGGUCGGUACAAAGGGUUGCCAAGCCGCGAGGUGGAGCUAAUCCCAUAAAACCGAUCGUAGUCCGGAUCGCAGUCGUGCAACUCGACUCGCGUGAAGUCGGAAUCGCUAGUAAUCGUGAAUCAGAAUGUCACGGUGAAUACGUUCCCGGGCCUU